GGUGCUGUUGCAGAGCUCUGAAAACCUGGGGAGUCACAAAGGAAGAUCUCAUUUUCAGUGUGCUGUCAGUGUGAAAGAAGCUCGUGCAGAGCUAUGGAAGCCUCCUUAGUCAUAGUGCUAUGAGAAGAGUCCUCCUGAACAACGGCAAAGGCAUUCCUGAGUGGAUCAGAACCCUCUAGUGCAAAAGCAGAGCUGCUGCCUUCUGCAAUGUGGGCAAGGCAAUAUUCGGUUCAAACAGACAAGGAAAACAAAGGGCUGCUGCAGACCUAUUCUUGUAAACCAUUUCUCAUGAAGAGACUCCAUGCUGAAGCGUGCAGAAUGUUUGUGCUAGUAAGGGCUCCUGGCAGAUUUGGCAGUG